rnacentral:rRNA from 1 species
GACGAACGCUGGCGGCGUGCUUAACACAUGCAAGUCGAACGGAAAGGCCCUGCGUUUGUGGGGUGCUCGAGUGGCGAACGGGUGAGUAACACGUGAGUAACCGGCCCUUGACUUUGGGAGAACUUCAGGAAACGGGGGCUAAUACCGGAUAGGAGCUCCUGCUGCAUGGAGGGGGGUGGAAAGUUUCGGCGGUUGGGGAUGGACGGGCGGCUGAUCAGCUUGCUGGUGGGGUAGUGGCUUACCAAGGCUUUGGAGGGUAGCCGGCCUGAGAGGGUGACCGGCCACAUUGGGACUGAGAUACGGCCCAGACUCCUACGGGAGGCAGCAGUGGCGAAUAUUGCACAAUGGGCGGAAGCCUGAUGCAGCAACGCCGCGUGCGGGAUGACGGUCUUCGGGUUGUAAACCGCUUUCGCCUGUGACGAAGCGUGAGUGACGGUAAUGAGUAAAGAAGCACCGGCUAACUACGUG